rnacentral:ncRNA from 2 species
CACCGAGGAGCGCUGCGAGACGUCCGUCCCAGGCUCGGUCCCUUCAGAACUGCGCUCACCUAAU